CACGAGCGAUACGGUGACUCCGCAGCUGCCAGGGAAUAUGAACGCUCCGUUUUUGGUACCGUAGGGUGGUACGCCAACAAGGGCUGGGCAAGACCGGCGCCUGCCGCCGCGGAAAUACCGGCUGCCCGAGUGAUGGCCGAUCUUAUUGGGCCUAAAGCGUCCGUAGCUGGCUGCGCAAGUCCGUCGGGAAAUCCACUCGCCCAACGAGUGGGCGUCCGACGGAAACUGCACAGCUUGGGACCGGAAGGCUCGAAGGGUACGUUCGGGGUAGGAGUGAAAUCCCAUAAUCCCGCACGGACCACCGAUGGCGAAAGCACUUCGAGAAAACGGAUCCGACAGUGAGGGACGAAAGCCAGGGUCUCCAACCGGAUUAGAUACCCGGGUAGUCCUGGCCGUAAACAAUGUUCGCUAGGUAUGACACAGACUACGCGUCUCUGUUGUGCCGUAGGGAAGCCGAGAAGCGAACCGCCUGGGAAGUACGUCUGCAAGGAUGAAACUUAAAGAAAUU
rnacentral:rRNA from 1 species